rnacentral:rRNA from 1 species
CAGCAGCCGCGGUAAUACGGGGGGUGCGAGCGUUGUCCGGAAUCACUGGGCGUAAAGGGCGCGUAGGUGGCAUGAUAAGGGUGUGGUGAAAGCCCGGGGCUCAACCCCGGGUCGGCCAUGCCGACUGUCAAGCUGGAGUACUGUAGGGGCAGGCGGAAUUCCGGGUGUAGCGGUGGAAUGCGUAGAGAUCCGGAGGAAGACCGGUGGCGAAGGCGGCCUGCUGGGCAGUUACUGACACUGAUGCGCGACAGCGUGGGGAGCAAACAGGAUUAGAUACCCUGGUAGUCCACGCCGUAAACGAUGGGUACUAGGUGCCUGGGGGAGCGACCCCUUGGGUGCCGGCGCUAACGCAGGAAGUACCCCGCCUGGGGAGUACGGCCGCAAGGCUGAAACUCAAAGGAAUUGACGG